CAGGAGGUCAUUGUCUGGGGAAAUAUGCACAUCUUCUGUACAAAGAUGGCUUGCCAGGAGAGUGAUCCACCCCCAACUAGAGAUGCUCCAUUCUCAGCUGUGCUGUUAUACUGCACUGGGCUCACAUGUCUGGUCACCGCUUUCUCCUUCUCUUGUCCUGUACUUGGUUGUGGUUUUUCUGAGGAGGAUGUGAGCAUCCUAGUUAAUGAGGAGACCCUGUGGUAGCGGAAAAGGGGGAGGAUUGCCAGUAUGUAGAAGCAUUAGUUAUUUUCUGCAUGGGUGAAAAUAUUUUUUUGUUUGGGAGGGCAGUCUGUGGGAGCGUAGUGCAUAGCAGCUAUUGCUUUUCUCAAGGAAGUAGCAGGUAGGCGAGGUCAUAUUUAAGGUUGGGAGCUUUGCGAGCAGUGUUUAUAAAUGGGAUACCCAGUCAAGUUUUUGUUUGCAUUGGCAGACACACACACGUCCAGUAUGACGUCCGCCCCUUCCUCCGAGGGACGACUUCUGCAUUCAUCUGUCACAACGUCGUCCUCCAUCGCUGAACGAGGGUCGUCGACGUAACGGAGCGAUGGCCUGUAGACAAAAGAAAAGAAGACCUUGAGAGCAGGCGGGGUUGUCAAAGUUAAGUGUUUUCCCAAGAGCAACGGUACAGAUGCUUCUGACUGUCCCGAAGUUCAUUGUUUUAAGAACAGGAAUCCUGUCACACCUGCCCAUUUUCAAAAGGGUGUGGGGGAGAGGUCAUUAUACGGAGGAUGUGUUUAUUUCUCCUGAGAGAGGUUGAUCGCCAGAAGAGCGAGCCACACAACUAGAGAUGCUCCAUUCUCUGCUGUCACGUUUUACACUGCAGUGGAUUUGCAUGACUGGUCACUGCUAGGUCUGUCUCUAGGUCUGUCUCUGGUUCUAUACACGGUUGUAGUUUUCUGUGGAGAUUGUGAGCAUCGUAGUUAACGUGGGAAGGGCCACCCACGAAGUCAGUUGCAUCUUUGUCGUAGGUAUGAAUGAGUCGAGGCUCUUUGGGCCAUUGGAUCGGUUAUUUUAGCAAAGGGAGAGCAAUAACAUGGACUCUCCCAUUUAUGUGUCAUGGGAGGAUCAGAGAGCAGAGCUGAGGGAGCGAGCCACAGCGAAUCAAUCACAUUGGGUCCAUGUGGUUCCGGCAACGGCGAUUUGGGCGGAAGCAGAGCAACUGGCAGCGAUGUUGGCGUACAUUGCCGACCAAGGGAUGGUGACAUACGGGAGCAAAAGCCUGCAGAUGAAGGAAAAGAAGACCUUGAGAGUCGGAGGGGAUGUCAAAGUUAAGUUUGUCUGUAAGAGUCAGUCUGUGUGAAGUCUUUAUAAGAUUGAGACUUCUUUUUUACAAGCAGGAGUCUGCUAAAGGGAGGCUAUUGAGAAAGCGGGCAGGAGGUCAUUGUCUGGGGAAAUAUGCACAUCUUCUGUACAAAGAUGGCUUGCCAGGAGAGUGAUCCACCCCCAACUAGAGAUGCUCCAUUCUCAGCUGUGUCGUUACACUGAACUGGGCUCGCACGUCCUGUCACCACGAUCUCCUUCUUGUGUCCUGUACUUGGUUGUGGUUUUCUGAGGAGGAUGUGAGCAUCCUAGGUAAUGACGAGCCCCUGUGGUAACGGGGAAAGGGGGAGGAUUGCCAGUGUAUAGAAUCAUAGCUAUUAUUUUGCAUGGGUGAAAAUGUUUUUGUUUGGAUGGGGUGGAGGGUGACCUCAGGGGAGCAUAGUGUGUAGCAGCUGUUUCUCAAGGAAGUAGCAGGUAGGUGAGGUCAUAUUAAGGUCGGGAGCUUUGCGAGCAGUGUUUAUAAAUGGGAUACCCAGUCAAGUUUUUGUUUGCAUUUGCAGAUGCGCACACGUCCGGUACAACGUCCACUCCUUCCUCCGAGGGACUGCUUCUGCAUUCAUCUGUCACAACGUCGUCCUACAUCGCUGAACGAGGGUCGUCGAUGUAACAGAGCGAUGGCCUGUAGACAAAGGAAAAGAAGACCAUGAGUGCAGGCAGGGUUGUCAAAGUUAAGUAUUUUCCCAAGAGCAGGAUGGUCAGAAGCAUUUGUGCCAGUGAGGUUCAUUGUUUAGGAACAAAAGUUCUGUUACAUGUGCCUAUUAAGAGGGCGGGGGGGGGGUCAUUAUAUGGAGGAUGUGUGCAUGACUCCCAAGAGUGAUGCGCACGUCACUAGAGAUGCUCAUUUGUCAGCUGUCACCUUUUACACUGCACUGGGUUUGCAUGACCGGUCACCACUAUCUCUGUCUUUGGUUCUAUAUGCAGAUGUGAGCAUCCUAGUUAGCAAGAGGCCCCAGUGGGGUGGGAAAUGUGGAGGCUAAGUGCAGGAAGUGAGUUGCAUCUCUGCCAUAGAAAUGUGGCAUUUGUUGACGUGCCAGAGGAGGAUUUGAGGGAGCGAGGCACAGCAAGUCCAUCCCAUUUGGUCCACACGGUUUGCGGCAACGGCGGUGCAAGCGUAACCGGUGGUGUCCAUCAGGUUCUGGAUGCAGAACUAAUCUAAUUUGGAAGAGCAGCAACAAAGUUGACGAGCUGGGGACUUUUUUUUUCCCCUCACAGAAGUGGAUUCGAUUUCACAUUUGCAAGUUAAGUAUGGCCAUAGAUGAGGGCGUUGGUUUUUGCUUGCCCUGCAUUGCACUUGGGGAAACGCGGUUCACUGGGUGCAUGUCACUGGGGAAAUUCACAUAUACAACAUAGCACAUGGGCGUUUCGGAAGCAGAGGUUUGGAUUUGUGCAGGCCUUAACUGAGCAUUUUUUUUUAUUUCCAUAGGAAGCGUGCCAUAUCAGCACAAGCUGAAGAUUUCUUCAUGAGCGGAGAAGAGUUCUGCGUGACUUAGCCGGUUUUGAAGAUGUAGAGUUUACAUAGGGUUCAAUUUAACACGUGCAAGUUAAGUAUGGUCCUUGAUCAGAGGCUGGAUUUUUUGUUGUGCAUGCUCUGUUUCACUUGAGCAAUGUGGUUCACUGGGUGCAUGUCACAGGGGAAAUACUGCUGUGCUGUCCUGUAGUGUGUGUUGGAAGCUGAGGUAGUUUGCAUUUGUUGCGUGGGCCUUAACCAUGAGCAUUCUUUUUUUUUUAUUAUUUCCAUAGGGAGUGUUCCAUGUCAGAGUGCUCUGAAGAUUUCUCUGUGACCAGAGAAGAGUUUGGCUCGUCUCUGCCAGUUUGGAAGAUGUAAAAUUUGCAUAGGAUUUGCUUUCAGAUUCUCUAGUUAAGUAUGGUCCUCUAUCAGGGGUUUUGUUUUGGGCUUUUUGUAUUUCACUUGAAAGGUUUCACCAGGUGCAUGUCACUGGGGCAGUUUACCUGUGCUACUAUGUAUAUGGCCCUUUUGGAAGCUGGGGCAGUUUGUGGUCUUGUUGUACAGGCCUUAACUGUGAAUCGUUUUUCAUUUCCAUAGGAAGUGUUCUCAAUCACUACCAUAUGAAGAUUUCUACAUGGCCGGAGAAGAAUGUGGCAUGUCCUUGCCAGUUUGGAAGGUGUAGAGUUUGCAUAGGAUUGGCUUUCAGAUUUGCAAGUUAAGUACAGUUUCAAUCAGGGGUUUUGUUUUUGCAUUUUGCUUUGGAAACGUAUUUCACUGGGUGCAUGUCACGGGAAAUUCACCUGCACUACAUUGUAUAAGCAUGUUUUGGAAGCUGAGGCAGUUUGAGUUUGUUGUAUGGGCUUUAACUGAGACAAAGUAGUUCUUUCUCUAGGAAGUCUUCCGCAGUGGUGCGAUCUGAAGAUUUCUAUGUGUCCAGAGAAGAAUUUGGCAUGCCUUUGUUUGUUUGGAAGAUGUAGAGUUUGUAUUUCACGCUUUGAUUUGCAGUGUCCUCUUGUCUUGAUGGCUAGUACCAAAGUUCUGAGGUGGUAUUGUUAAUACUUUCACAGUCCCAAUCAGUAGAUACAUCAAGUCAGCGCUGGCACACAUUUGGACCAGGUGCACCAGUACAUCUCAGUCCUGCAAGGGAUGCAGGAGACAUUUUAACCCGAGGAUGCAGGCAGGGGGGCACAGUUGCUUGCUGGAUGAGUUUGUGCAGCAGCGCACUGCUAUUUGCACUGCUACCCGGG